rnacentral:rRNA from 1 species
AUUGAACGCUGGCGGCAUGCCUUACACAUGCAAGUCGAACGGCAGCACGGGAGCAAUCCUGGUGGCGAGUGGCGAACGGGUGAGUAAUAUAUCGGAACGUGCCCAGUCGUGGGGAUAACGUAGCGAAAGCUACGCUAAUACCGCAUACGAUCUAUGGAUGAAAGCGGGGGAUCGCAAGACCUCGCGCGAUUGGAGCGGCCGAUAUCAGAUUAGGUAGUUGGUGAGGUAAAGGCUCACCAAGCCGACGAUCUGUAGCUGGUCUGAGAGGACGACCAGCCACACUGGGACUGAGACACGGCCCAGACUCCUACGGGAGGCAGCAGUGGGGAAUUUUGGACAAUGGGCGCAAGCCCGAUCCAGCAAUGCCGCGUGCAGGAUGAAGGCCUUC